rnacentral:rRNA from 1 species
CCUUGGAACAGGGUAUCAAAGAGGGUGAUAAUCCCGUACUUGACACAAUGACCGGUGCUCUGUGAUACGUCUUCUACGAGUCGAGUUGUUUGGGAAUGCAGCUCAAAAUGGGUGGUGAGUUCCAUCUAAAGCUAAAUAUUGGCGAGAGACCGAUAGCGAACAAGUACCGUGAGGGAAAGAUGAAAAGCACUUUGGAAAGAGAGUUAAACAGUACGUGAAAUUGUUAAAAGGGAAACGAUUGAAGUCAGUCGUGACUGAGAGGCUCAGCCGGUUCUGCCGGUGUAUUCCCCUCAGUCGGGUCAACAUCAGUUUUGUUCGGUGGAUAAGGGCAGUUGGAAGGUGGCACCCUCGGGUGUGUUAUAGCCAGCUGUCGCAUACAUCGGAUGAGACUGAGGAAUGCAGCUCGCCUUUAUGGCCGGGGUUCGCCC